rnacentral:rRNA from 1 species
GACGAACCGUGCGAACGUUGUUCGGAAUCACUGGGCUUAAAGGGCGCGUAGGCGGGCUAUCAAGUCCGGGGUGAAAUCCUCCCGCUCAACGGGAGAACGGCUUCGGAUACUGAUGGUCUCGAGGGGGAUAGGGGCACGCGGAACUGUGGGUGGAGCGGUGAAAUGCGUUGAUAUCCAUAGGAACUCCGGUGGCGAAAGCGGCGUGCUGGAUCCCUUCUGACGCUGAGGCGCGAAAGCCAGGGGAGCAAACGGG